AUAAGUUUAGGGAUAACACCAAAAUGAUGCCAAUUCAUACACAGACAAUCUCAUUCCAUAAGAGACAAGCUCUUGUAACAUACAUGGAGAACAAUAGAGCAGGAAUCACUGUGUUUGGAUUCAUGCUUGAUAGAACAUGGCUCUACUCAAUUUUUGCAAUUCAAUUGGCUCUAUGCCUUUGGCUACUUAACAAGACAGUUGGUGUUUAGAGACAGAGAGAAAAACUGCCUUGAUCUUCCUACCUUGUUCACUAUGUGUUUUGUAAUGUACUAAUGCAUAAUAUUAUUUUAUAGUGAUUAGUUCAUUUGGAUCUGAUAGUUCUGGUUAUGAACUUUAUGAUCAACGAAAUGGUAAAUGAUAUAUGAGUCUGCUCCACAAGUUACAGAAACUAGUGUUAAUGAUGAGUAACAUUGUUGAGUUCAAAGGUGUUGACUAGUUCCACAAAUAAUCCACUUCUUGCAA